UCCUUGGGAGAAAAAAAUGUGAGCGCUCACACGAUUCCUUUCUCUGCGCGCCGCAAGCGGUGGCGCUGGGCUCGCUCCUCUUUUUCGCGCUCCCGUGCGCGCCGCGCCUCUCUAGCCCCUUGCUUCCUGCUCAGCAGCGCCUGCGAGUGCCCUCAGUAGCCAUUAUUCACCGGCCGCCGGGGGACAGGAGGUGACUUUCCUGGUUGUUCCUUGGUGUGUCCUCCAUUGCUAGGUUGAUGCCUGGUACAGAUUCUGUAAGUAUUUGGUGAUGAAUGAUGGUGAAUAAAUGAGGUUAAAUCA